AUUGAACGCUGGCGGCAGGCCUAACACAUGCAAGUCGAGCGAGCGGCGGACGGGUGAGUAAUGUCUGGGCAACUGCCUGAUGGAGGGGGAUAACUACUGGAACCGGUAGCUAAUACCGCAUCCCAUCAGAUGUGCCCAGAUGGGAUUAGCUAGUAGGUGGGGUAACGGCUCACCUAGGCGACGAUCCCUAGCUGGUCUGAGAGGAUGACCAGCCACAUGGGAGCUGGGACACGGUCCAGACUCCUACGAGGGGGAGCAGUGGGGAAUAUUGCGCUAAGGGCGAUAGCCUGAUGCAGCCAUGCCGCGGGUGUGAGUAAGGCCGUCGGGUUGUAAAGCACUUUCAGCGUGGAGGCGUUACCCGCAGAAGAAGCACCGGCUAACGCCGUGCCAGCAGCCGCGGUAAUUC
rnacentral:rRNA from 1 species